rnacentral:rRNA from 1 species
AUUGAACGCUGGCGGCAUGCCUUACACAUGCAAGUCGAACGGUAACAGGUCUUCGGAUGCUGACGAGUGGCGAACGGGUGAGUAAUACAUCGGAACGUGCCUAGUAGUGGGGGAUAACUACUCGAAAGAGUAGCUAAUACCGCAUGAGAUCUACGGAUGAAAGCAGGGGACCUUCGGGCCUUGUGCUACUAGAGCGGCUGAUGGCAGAUUAGGUAGUUGGUGGGGUAAAGGCUUACCAAGCCUGCGAUCUGUAGCUGGUCUGAGAGGACGACCAGCCACACUGGGACUGAGACACGGCCCAGACUCCUACGGGAGGCAGCAGUGGGGAAUUUUGGACAAUGGGCGAAAGCCUGACCCAGCAAUGCCGCGUGCAGGAUGAAGGCCCUCGGGUUGUAAACUGCUUUUGUACGGAACGAAAAGCCUGGGGCUAAUAUCCCCGGGUCAUGACGGUACCGUAAGAAUAAGCACCGGCUAACUACGUGCCAGCCGCCGCCGUAACAC